CAGCAGCCGCGGGAAUACGAGGGGGGCAAGCGUUGUUCGGAAUUAUUGGGCGUAAAGGGUGCGUAGGCGGUUUGACAAGUCUUAUGUGAAAUCUCUGGGCUCAACCCAGAGUCUGCAUGGGAAGCUGUCGGGCUUGAGUAUGGGAGAGGUGAGUGGAAUUUCCGGUGUAGCGGUGAAAUGCGUAGAGAUGUGGAGGAACACCAGUGGCGAAGGCGACUCUCUGGUCUGUAACUGACGCUGAGGAGCGAAAGCGUGGGGAGCGAACAGGAUUAGAUACCCGCGUAGUCCCUGUCUCUUAUAC
rnacentral:rRNA from 1 species